UACGUAGGUGGCAAGCGUUGUCCGGAAUUAUUGGGCGUAAAGCGCGCGCAGGCGGCCUUUUAAGUCUGAUGUGAAAGCCCACGGCUCAACCGUGGAAGGUCAUUGGAAACUGAAAGGCUUGAGUACAGAAGAGGAAAGCGGAAUUCCACGUGUAGCGGUGAAAUGCGUAGAGAUCCGGAAGAACACCAGUGGCGAAGGCGGCCCGCUGGGCAGUGGCUGACGCUGAGGCGCGACAGCGUGGGGAGCAAACAGG
rnacentral:rRNA from 1 species